CAGAUUUGAUUGAUUACAAUAUAUUGAUUGAUAUCAAAAUUUAUCUUGUUUGUCAAUUUUGAUAAUUUCUGUAUUGCUUGAAUUUCCUUUGAUAUUUGCUUUUUAAUCUAUAGAUUAUUCAUUUUUUUUAUUUUAUUAUACAGGGUGUCUCCAGGAUUUAUUUUUGCUAUUAUUCCAGAGUCAGACAUGAUACAAUUGAAUAAAAUAUACAAAAGCAGGAAAACUUACCAAGUUUCUGAGAAAAUUACACAGUCUACUAAUUAUACUAAUGGAGCACACAUGGAGAAUAUGUGCUCCAAAGGGUUGAUAUAGUUCAUAGAAUAUGUGCUCCAUUAGUGACAAUGAUAAUGUCAACCUUGAACUCAAUUUCUUGCCAAGUGUUGUGAAGCAUAUCUGGUAUGACAUUGCAACUGCCUCAGUGGUUCUUUCAUGGAAGUAGUUCAGCUUGUUUACUUUCAUUCUAUAAACCUUGUCUUUGACAUAUUUUCAUAAAAAAGAAGAAAUUCAGGGAGUUAAAUCUGGGGACCUGGAUGAUCAUGAAAUUGGUCCCUCUAUCCAAUUCAACCAGGAAAAUUUCUAUCCAUUAUUUCAUGAACUUCUGAUUUCUAGUAUGAAGCGAUGCUCUCUUGUUGAAAGAAAAGUUCACAAUUGAUUUGUUGAAGUUGGGGGAAGAAAAUGUUUCUAAUGUAUUCAGGUAAAUUACAUCCGUCUCUAUGCUUUGAUGAAGAAGAAAGAUCAUAUUAUUCUCAUCUCUAUCAGACCGUAAUAUACAUUAAUUUUCAGGUUGUUCCGAGUGUGUUCUUGAACAUUGUGUGGGUUUUCUGAAUCCAAAUUUAGAUAUUGUGGUAAUCACAUGUCCUGAUACAUGAAAUGUCACCUCAUUAGAGAAACAAAUGCAUGCCAGGAAAUUCUGAUUCAUAUCAAUACAAGCAAACAGCCAUUUGCAAAAGCUACCCUGACUGGCUUCUCACUUGAUUUCAACUCUUGUAGUAACCAGAUUUUGUACACACACAACUUCCUGAUGGACAGCAUUGUGACAACUUUUUUUUUGCUGAUGGACAACUUUAUGGACAGUGAAUUUUGGCAACUGCAGCUCACAUGAUACUCAUUUAAUAGACUUGUGUGGGCUCUAGCCAAACAUCUCCUGACUGCAUUGCACAUUUUACAAAGAAGUGUAGUAAAGCAGCACAUUGCAAAUAACAUUUACAAAGAAGUGUAGUAAAGUAGCACGGAGGUGGUUACAAAGUGUCAUGUGAAAAGUGUGACAUUUUGUAACCAUUUCUGUGCUGCUUUACUACACUCCCAGUUCCCAAAAGCAGGCCACACUAAUGCUUGAUGGUCUUGUCAAUUGAUGCAUAUCUGUGGUAACUUGCCUAAACUUCUGUUGCACACUCACCAUGGACUUAAGUUCUGACUACUACCAUGGACUUAAGUAUUGACUUUUUCUUGUGGGGAAGCCAUUUUGAAUAUCAGUGACUGCAGCAUCUUAAAAUAUGAACUGGCAGGAAAAACAAAAUUAUUAGGCUAACCUGAUGAACUCUUCCUUCUCAAUUGUCAUUGUACAAUGUAACUUUGAUUUUUACCAUGCUCUUAAAAUCCUGGAGUUUUUGAC
rnacentral:lncRNA from 1 species